rnacentral:rRNA from 1 species
UGGAAGUAAAAGUCGUAACAAGGUUUCCGUUAGGUGAACCUGCGGAAGGAUCAUUACCGAGUGAGGGCCCUCUGGGUCCAACCUCCCACCCGUGUUUAUUUUACCUUGUUGCUUCGGCGGGCCCGCCUUAACUGGCCGCCGGGGGGCUCACGACCCCCGGGCCCGCGCCCGCCGAAGACACCCUCGAACUCUGUCUGAAGAUUGUAGUCUGAGUGAAAAUAUAAAUUAUUUAAAACUUUCAACAACGGAUCUCUUGGUUCCGGCAUCGAUGAAGAACGCAGCGAAAUGCGAUACGUAAUGUGAAUUGCAAAUUCAGUGAAUCAUCGAGUCUUUGAACGCACAUUGCGCCCCCUGGUAUUCCGGGGGGCAUGCCUGUCCGAGCGUCAUUGCUGCCCUCAAGCCCGGCUUGUGUGUUGGGCCCCGUCCUCCGAUCCCGGGGGACGGGCCCGAAAGGCAGCGGCGGCACCGCGUCCGGUCCUCGAGCGUAUGGGGCUUUGUCACCCGCUCUGUAGGCCCGGCCGGCGCUUGCCGAUCAACCCAAAUUUUUAUCCAGGUUGACCUCGGAUCAGGUAGGGAUACCCGCUGAA